CCGUGUCAGUCAGUGCAGAAGCAGCAAGAUGCUGUGGCAGACUCAGCUCCUCUGGCUCCUUGUGCUCUGGAUGCAGGGCUCCAGCGGCGACAUUGUUGUGACUCAGACUCCAGAGUCCCUGGCUGUGUCCCCAGGAGACACAGUCACCAUCAAGUGCAAAACCAGCUCCAGUGUUAGCAGCAGCAUGGCCUUCUACCAGCAGAAACCAGGGCAGGCUCCUAAGCUCCUUCUCUACGGCACGAACAGACGCGCCUCAGGGAUCCCCGACCGGUUCAGUGGCAGUGGGUCUGGGACUGACUUCACUUUCACCAUCAGCCGGGUGGAACCUGGAGAUGCUGCAGAUUAUUACUGUCAGCAAGGUAGCAGCGGGUCUCACAGUGCUACAGACCAGCACAAAAACCUCCCUGGGCUUCUGCAGUUUCUGUUCCUGUUAGUCCAGAUGCCUUCUGCCCUCACACCAUCUAUUAAACUCUAA